CUCCCGCCAGGCGGCCAAGUCCGUCGUCGCCGCGGGCCUCGCCAAGAGGUGCAUCGUGCAGCUCUCUUACGCCAUCGGCGUCCCCGAGCCCCUCUCCGUGUUUGUCGACACCUACGGCACCGGCACCAUCCCCGACGAGGAGAUCCUCGCCAAGGUCAAGGCGGCCAUGGACUUCCGCCCCGGUCCCGUCGGCCGCGACCUCGACCUCAAGAGGUCCACCUCCAAGACCUCCGGCAAGAACAACCGCUACCAGCAGACCGCCGCGUACGGCCACUUCGGCCGCGACGAUUACGACGUGUUCACCUGGGAGAAGCCCGUGGCUCUCUAAGCGCAUAUAUAAAUACCUUUAAGGUGUGAUAUUACGCUUAGUUGAGGUUUAGGGGGUUGAUUCGGCCGGGGGGGGAAACUUAGGACGCGCUAUUACGAACUGCUAC
rnacentral:lncRNA from 1 species